AGGAAGUUCCUCACAUGUUCUCAUCAAGAACGUGAUGCCAGAGUGGUCCGUCUGGUAUGUAAAGAUGCAGGAUGGUACCCAGAGCCUGAAGCAAGCUGGAGAGACCUCCAGAGACAUAGUUUAAAACCACACUCUGAAAAUAACAGAGCAAAUGGAAAAGGCCUGUUCUCCAUUGAGUUUUCAGUCCUGGUAACUGAACUCAAAAAGAUUGUGCCCUGUUCCAACCUCAACUCCAGGCUCAACCAGAAAAAGGAAACAAAUAUUUCUGAUUCAGCUUACAGGAUCUUAGUUCCCCAACCAAGGAUUGAACCCGUGGCCUCAGCAGAGAAAGCAUGGAGUCCUAACCACUGGACUGCCAGGGAAUUCCCUCAUUUGUCUCCUGGUACACAUGUGUUAGAGUUUCUCUUGGGUAUAUACCCAGAAGUGAAAUUGCGAAGUCAAGUCAAGAUGGUAGCCUGACAAAUACUGCUGUUCCCCUCCUCCCUCCCAUAUGAUGGCACCAGUGACCUCCAGCCCUUCCCCAUGCUCUUCUGUCUGUGUGAUGGAUUACGUGCUGCUCUCCUCCACAGCUUGAGACCCGAUGAUGUCCACCUCUGUAUCAUGAACAAUACAGUAGGCGUUGAGGUUCUUGCAGAACCCCAGACCACUGUCUGUGCAAUAAGAACAAUGUGUUCACUGCCGUUGUCUCAAAGCGCCUUCUCAGAGCCUCUUCACCAGAAUGGAUCCGGCACUCCAGCAGUGCUUGAAGGUUAUCAGGAGUAAAGAGACCUUCUGGGAUUUCAUCAGUUUCAUGUCCAUCCAGAGUUGAUCAGGUGUUUUAUCUUCUAAGUGCUCUCCUACAAUUCUCCGCCCACUUCUGGCAUCUGGCUGGAUCCCGCGGGAACCUGAAGAAGGCCAGGUCGGACUGCAUGCUCUUCCGCGUGCAGUUGGGGGCCGCGCAGAAGUUGGGCAUCGUCGUCUGCCGGCCGGCCGGCCCAGCCCUCCCAGCCCUCCCCCUCCCCGCCUCCUCAGGGCAGCCCGCCCGCCGUCGGGGCCGGGGAGGGCAGCCAGGCCGACCCGCCAGCUUGUUAGGGCCGGCGCACCGCGGGGAGGGGCGGACGGGCGAGAAGCCGCGAGGGGCAGGAGGGGCGCCGUGGUCCGAGGCCGGGCUGCGGAUGCGUCCACACAGUGCUGUGAGCGGCCGGGAGGAUUUACCGACGCCGCCGCCGCCGCUGGUGCACCUCCUGCCCGUCCGGGACGCUGCCGCCUCCUUCCCACCCGCAUUGGCCCUUAUGUCUUGCACACUUCUCUCCAUACAUUGGCUGGUUCUGAUGGUGCUGACCACAGCAUGAGGCCUCUGGGAGCUGAGGGAAUUCCCCCGUUGUGCUGGGUUCUGGCUCGCCUGCACUCCUUGCCUUCCUCUGGUGCUGCCCUGGCUCAGGGUUCAGCCACCAUAGAAGAAGUCUGAUUAUCCUGAGACUACCAGACUCUUAAGGAAGCCUAAGUGAGCCACUUGAAGAUGUCACAUGAAGGAGGAUCAGAGUGCUUUGAUUGACAGCCCCACAUGAAAUCCCAGCCUCCAGGCAGCACCAACUGCCACUGUCUUGGACAUUCCAAAUCAGCUGCGCCUCCAGUGAGCCAUCCUGGAUAUUCCAGACCAGUUGAGCCUCCAGAUGACUGCAGCCACAGCUCAACCCACAUAAGGAAGAACUACCCAGGAAAUGUUUUCCACCUGCCUUAAGAAUAGUAGCAAUAUCACUGACCCCAUGAAAAUGAGAAGACACAAAUUAGCUGAAGAAGCAUCAGCAUUUUUUUAAAAAGUUUAGAAAGUUCCCCAGACCUUCUCAUCAAGAACAGUGAUGCCAGAGUGGUUCAUCUGGUGUGUCAGGCUGCAGGCUGGUACCCAGAACCUGAGGCAAGCUGGGGAGAUCCCUAAGGACAGAAUUUAAAGCCACACUCUGAAAACAACAGAGCAGGUGGAAACAGCCUGUUCUCCACUGAGCCUUCAUUCCUGGUAACCGUGACCUCUUUGGUCCUCAACCCCAGGCUCAAUGAGAAGAAGGAAAUAACUAUUUCUGUUGUCAGGACAGAAAUAAUAUAUGGAUAAUUUUGAGUAUUAUUUUAGCUGUGGUCUGCAUUUCCGUGGUUGUUUUUUUCAUUGUGGUGCAAAGAAGAUCUAAAAAUCUGGCCAUAGGCAAUUACAAAGUCUUUCUGGACCUGAAACAUAGACUGCCAGAUAUUUCUCCAGCAAAGAUGGGUUUAUUCAGGAUCAGCAGAGAAUUGCAGUUCGGGAUCUGCAACCAUGGCGAGCCACAUGCAAGUCCCCACACAGCAAAAGAAGAAAAGGGGAAAAGGAAGUUGGGAGGGCUGCAGUUAACAAAGAGUCCAUGGCUUUUCUUUGGCUGAGUCCUUGCCUGGAAAGGAGAGGAGACUUCUUGCUCUUGGGCUCUGCAGUGGUGCUGGGUGUGAGAGCUCCCCUUUCUGGUCUCCCAACUCUAUUUAAUGGAGGUUUCUGUUUAUUAAUUUUUUAUAGCUUUAUCUGGCUGCCCUCCCCACACCAGACUUGGAGCACAGCCUGUGCAUUGCAGUCUCUGAAAGGAAUUGCAGUCAAUGACGCAGGCCCACCCCCCCCGCACCCCCCCCACCCCCGGCCACCUAUGCUCGUAUGUAUAUCUGCAUUCCUAGUUCAAGUGCCUCUGGAGGCCUCUUCACUGGGGCUCUUGGCAGAAGCCUUCAUCAGACACUUCUGCCGAAACCGCUUUGUUGGGAAGAGGGGAGGGAACCUUGAAGCCAUGUUCUCCGCACUGACUCAGCACUCAGUACUUUUCCAAGUCUAGCCUACUCUCCCUGCCCCUGGCUUCCAGGUCCAUGAAAUUGCAGGAGCUUUCUGAUCAGGGCUCCCUCAGCAGUGAGACAAGCCCCACAUCUGUGCUAAUCCACUUAACCCUUAACUGACACACCAUUCCUUGAGGGAAAAUGGAAUGGAGGAGUCAGUGCUUUCUCCUGUUUAGCCUCUUGCUUAUACUAUGACAGUAAGUGAUUAAAAACUUGUCUGUUAUUUUCAUUUUGCCUUGUUGUCUUAACUGGAUACUCCAACACCUGGCAGCUCAGCUGUCUCUAGCUCAUCUGAGCUCCUGACACCUUGACUUCGAAGAUAUUUUUAUCGUGACUAGAAUUCUGGGUUGACAGUUUUGAGAUUCAGAACUUUAAAGAUGUCAUACCAUUGUCUUCCAGUUAUGACACGUAUUUCUUAUCUUUAUUCCUCUGAUUUAAUGUCUUUAUUGUCUCGAUGUCUUCAAGAUUUUCUCUUUAUCAUUGAUUGUCAGCAGUUCAAAAAUGAUGAGUUUAGAUUUGUGGGUGGAGUUAUUUGGUUGGUUAUUUGGGGGUUUUGUUGUCUAUAUUGCUCAUUAUUUAUUCUACCUGAGGUUUUCCAGACAUGGACCUUUGGCUUGAUAUUUUUCAUUGUUUUUGGAAAAUUCUUAGUCAUUAUCUCUUCAAAUAUUACUUCUACCUUGUUCUCUACUUUCUUCUGCCUGUAGGACUCCAGUUACAUUUAUGUUUGCCUGUUUGUCAAAAUGAAAAAUCAUCUAAUGACUGCUGGAUUUAUUGUGCCAAUAAUUUGUUUU